UACGUAGGGUGCAAGCGUUAAUCGGAAUUACUGGGCGUAAAGCGUGCGCAGGCGGUUUGUAAGUUUGUCGUGAAAGCCCCGGGCUCAACCUGGGAAUUGCGAUGGAGACUGCAAGGCUAGAAUCUGGCAGAGGGGGGUAGAAUUCCACGUGUAGCAGUGAAAUGCGUGAGAGAUGUGGAGGAACACCGAUGGCGAAGGCAGCCCCCUGGGUCAAGAUUGA
rnacentral:rRNA from 1 species